CAAUCCCCUUUUAGAGCCCAUAUCGACAAGGGGGUUUACGACCUCGAUGUUGGAUCAGGACACCCUAAUGGUGCAGCCGCUAUUAAGGGUUCGUUUGUUCAACGAUUAAAGUCCUACG
rnacentral:rRNA from 1 species